rnacentral:siRNA from 1 species
CCAUCCAGUGUUUCAUGUGUC